ensembl:snRNA U6 U6 spliceosomal RNA
UUGCUUUGACAGCACAUAAACUAUAAUUGGAACAGUACAGAGAUGAGCAUGGCCUCUGUACAUAAGGAUGACACACAAAUUCAUUCAUGAAGCUGUCCAUCUUA